GACGAACGCUGGCGGCGUGCUUAACACAUGCAAGUCGAACGGAAAGGCCCUGCUUUUGUGGGGUGCUCGAGUGGCGAACGGGUGAGUAACACGUGAGUAACCUGCCCUUGACUUUGGGAUAACUUCAGGAAACUGGGGCUAAUACCGGAUAGGAGCUCCUGCUGCAUGGUGGGGGUUGGAAAGUUUCGGCGGUUGGGGAUGGACUCGCGGCUUAUCAGCUUGUUGGUGGGGUAGUGGCUUACCAAGGCUUUGACGGGUAGCCGGCCUGAGAGGGUGACCGGCAACAUUGGGACUGAGAUACGGCCCAGACUCCUACGGGAGGCAGCAGUGGGGAAUAUUGCACAAUGGGCGGAAGCCUGAGGCAGCAACGCCGCGUGCGGGAUGACGGCCUUCGGGUUGUAAACCGCUUUCGCCUGUGACGAAGCGUGAGUGACGGUAAUGGGUAAAGAAGCACCGGCGAACUACGC
rnacentral:rRNA from 1 species